UGGAAAAAUGACGGCGGAUAUAUCCCCAUAAAACACAGGUUCUGAUACUGGUCACAUUGCACCCUUCGGAACCCGUAAUUUUACCUCAACUGGUGAACAAGGCCUUAUUGACUCUUAACCUAGAUAUACGAGUGAGUCUAUUCCUGCCAAGCGGAAACUGAUGAGUAAUGUGCUGAGUCAUCUCGAGGCGAGGGAAAAUGGCUUGUUUGCGGGUAAACGGAGAUAGGUAUAUGGUAAGUUGUGAUGACUAAUCGAAGAAUAUUUGACUUUCAAGAACAAACCGGGUGUCAAAACCUUAUUGGGAGCUCCAUUAUUAAAAGUCGCUUCUAUAUCCACAAAAAAAUU
rnacentral:misc_RNA from 1 species